rnacentral:rRNA from 2 species
ACCUGACUGCUAUCGGAUUGACACUAAGCCAUGUGAGUCAUUGUAGCAAUACAAGGCAGACGGCUCAGUAACACGUAGCCAACCUACCCUAUGGACGGGGAUAACCUCGGGAAACUGAGGAUAAACCCCGAUAGAUCAUUAUGCCUGGAACGGUUUAUGGUCCAAAUGAUUCGUCGCCGUAGGAUGGGACUGCGGCCUAUCAGCUUGUUGGUGAGGUAAUGGCCCACCAAGGCUAUUACAGGUACGGGCUCUGAGAGGAGAAGCCCGGAGAUGGGUACUGAGACACGGACCCAGGCCCUAUGGGGCGCAGCAGGCGAGAAAACUUUGCAAUGUGCGCAAGCACGACAAGGUUAAUCCGAGUGUUUCCUGCUAAAGGAAUCUUUUGCUAGUCCUAAAAACACUAGCGAAUAAGGGGUGGGCAAGUUCUGGUGUCAGCCGCCGCGGUAAAACCAGCACCUCAAGUGGUCAGGAGGAUUAUUGGGCCUAAAGCAUCCGUAGCCUGCUCUGUAAGUUUCCGGUUAAAUCCAUUAGCUUAACUGAAGGGCCGCCGGAAAAACUGCAAAGCUAGGGAGUGGGAGAGGUAGACGGUACUCGGUAGGAAGGGGUAAAAUCCUUUGACCUAUCGAUGACCACCUGUGGCGAAGGCGGUCUACCAGAACACGUUCGACGGUGAGGGAUGAAAGCUGGGGGAGCAAACCGGAUUAGAUACCCGGGUAGUCCCAGCUGUAAACGAUGCAGACUCGGUGAUGCACUGGCUUGUGGCCAGUGCAGUGCCGCAGGGAAGCCGUUAAGUUUGCCGCCUGGGAAGUACGUACGCAAGUAUGAAACUUAAAGGAAUUGGCGGGGGAGCACCACAAGGGGUGAAGCCUGCGG